rnacentral:rRNA from 1 species
AUGGCGGCGGCGGCGAACGGCGGGGGCGGGGAGACCAAGGCGGCGUUCGCGCGGAUCUACGACGCGCUCAAGGCGGAGCUGCUCCGGGACCCCGCCUUCGAGUACACGGAGUCGUCGCACCAGUGGAUCGACCGCAUGCUGGACUACAAUGUACUGGGAGGAAAGUGCAACCGUGGGCUCUCUGUGGUCGAUAGCUAUAAGCUGUUGAAAGGCGUCGAUGUUCUUACCGAGGAGGAGAUGUUUCUUGCCUCCACUCUCGGUUGGUGCAUUGAAUGGCUUCAAGCCUUCUUUCUUGUGCUCGAUGAUAUCAUGGACGACUCCCACACUCGACGUGGGCAGCCUUGUUGGUUUAGGGUGCCUCAGGUUGGCUUCAUUGCUGUAAAUGAUGGGAUUCUCCUUCGCAACCAUAUUUCGAGAAUGCUUCGGCUCCACUUUAAGAAGAAGCCUUACUAUGCCGAUCUCCUUGAUUUAUUCAACGAGGUUGAGUUCAAGACAGCUUCUGGUCAAAUGCUGGACCUUAUUACAACCCACGAGGGAGAAAAAGAUCUAACGAAAUAUAACAUUGGGGUCCACCGCCGAAUUGUUCAAUUCAAGACAGCCUACUAUUCAUUUUAUCUGCCGGUUGCAUGUGCGCUACUACUCUCUGGUGAGAGUUUGGAGAACUACGGUGCUGUAGAGAACAUACUUGUUGAGAUGGGAACUUACUUCCAAGUUCAGGAUGAUUAUCUGGACUGUUAUGGUGAUCCUGAAUUUAUUGGCAAGAUCGGCACCGACAUUGAAGAUUACAAGUGCUCCUGGCUAGUUGUCCAAGCUCUUGAGCAUGCUGAUGAGAGCCAAAAGAGCAUUCUAUUUGAAAACUAUGGAAAGAAAGAUCCAGCAUGUGUGGCAAAAGUGAAGGAUCUCUACAAAGAACUUAACCUUGAGGCGGUAUUUCAUGAGUACGAGAGCGAGAGCUACAAGAAGCUGAUUGCUGAUAUCGAAGCCCAGCCGAGCGUUCCUGUUCAGAAGGUUCUGAAGUCCUUCUUGCACAAGAUCUACAUGAGGCAGAAGUAG